rnacentral:lncRNA from 1 species
GAUAGCUCCCUCCCACCUUGCAGAGCAGGAAGCUUUAGCUAGGCUCCACUGUACCCGCUCCGCCCUGGCAAAUGCCUUCAGCUCACCACAGACCUGUAGCCAAUCCGAAUAGAGGAAGAGGGAGCCCCUCGACAGCCAUACAUGGGUAGUGUUCCUUUCCUCUGAGAGCCAAGUUCCAUUCCUGGAAUUACCUUCUGGGCAUGAAGCCUCCAGGGUCUGGGAUGAAGGGACCUCCCCCGAGCCUAUGAACCACCAAUGCUUCCCUCCCUUUCUCUGUGCUUGCCCUCAUCUCAGGGACCAUGACGUCUCUCAUCCACCCUCUCUUCCUCAGGCCAACCCUGGGACAGUUCACAUCUGCAGCCUUCAGAAUGUCUAUGUGGGUGUCACCAGCCCAGGUCCAAGUGUUCAUUCCUGUCCUUCACCAGGGACUGCGGGGUCCUUACUAGUUUUGAUUGGUUGGGUUUUGUUCUGGGUGUUUGUUUGUUUGUUUGUUUCUCUCUCUCUCUCUCUCUUUUUUUUUUUUUUCCCCCCCGGAGCUGAGGACCGAACCCAGGGCCUUGCGCUUGCUAGGCAAGUGCUCUACCACUGAGCUAAAUCCCCAACCCAGUUUUUGUUUGUUUUGUUUUGUUUUGUUUUGAGACAGGGUUUCUCUGUGUAUCCUUGACUGUCCUGGAACUCGCUCUGGACCAGGCUGGCUUCCAACUCAGAGAUCCUCCUGCCUCUGCCUCCCAGGCACUGGGUGUGAUCCACUACUGCCGGGCCCUCAUGUUGUGCUGUAUUCUUAAGUUGAGGAAGAAAUCUCUCCCUUCCCACCUUUUUACAGAACACCUGCUCCUUAUCUCCCACUUCUAUGGGGGUGGCUUUUGAGGCUCCAUCUGGAUGAGGGGUUCAAUAUUUUAGUCUAAAACUUCAGAAAGUCAAGCAUCAUCUAAAACAUGCCCAGGGCCCCGGCUUGUCCUCAGCAGCCCUUCAGGGCUUCUGGUUCCUUCCACCACCCUUCCCAGGAUUCUAGAAAUCAAAGGAGCCAUACAAUCCAGUAGGAGGCAGUGACUCUGGCCUCAGUGCUGGGAGCCCAGUGGGAACCGUCAUGCCUUACCUCCGUCUAAUGGGUAAAGGGCUUUCUUACCAAGCAUGUCUGACAUCCCUGGAGAGGCUGUGUUGUUUCAGGUGGCACUGUAAUGCCAGCUGACAACCAGAUCCUUCUGUUCACCUUACUUGGAACCUUUUUUUGUCCUUUGGGGCCGGGCACCUGCAGACCCUCUGUGUGUCCCUGUCAUGUGGGGAUUGGGGAGGAAUUCAGGCCUGUUCACUUCCCCAGUUCUGUAGCAGCCGAUCAGUGUCACCUUUGAAGUAUACCUGAGAGAAAUAUAUUUACAAAUGCUUUAUUCUCUUCUUUAAUAAAAAAUGCACCAGUAUUCUAAAAGCACAA